GGCCGCCCCCGCCCCUGGCCGCCACUCCCACCGGCGUGGCCACCUCCGGCCACGCCCGCCCCCGGUCGCCGCUCCCGCCGGCGCGGCCACCUCUGGCCCCGCCCUCGCCCGCUGCGGCCGCCCCGUUGCAUUGCACGGCUCUGAGUCCUAGACGACCUCGUUCCCCUCCACCGUCUCGCCUCUCUCUUGGUUCCUCGCGGUGACGAUUGGGAGAGCGCCUCCUCUCCUCCCUCACUCCCUCCGUGAGCUCCUCGCCGGUGGCGCGCGCUGACACCCGUUGCCACGUCUUCUCCGCUGACAUGGGCUCACCAGGUAUGCCCCUGCCCCUCUCCGGGCCAUCCAUUCCCGCUGCGCGGAAUCGAACACCCCAAACCCUAAUGCAUUAUCUAUAGUCAGAUCUGGCCCAGUUGCGAGUGCACGCAUGCUGUCUGCUAACUUCCAGUUUUCACAAAGUUAUCCGGUAUAUACAUGUCCUAUGCUGGUUCCGCCCUUUUGGACAGCAUGAUUAUGAUACUAGCACGGUUAAUUUUCAGGGGUGGGGGAUUAUGGGUCUCAAUUUCAUUUUCAUCCCCCAUGCCAAUGCUGUCGUGACUCGUGUUGUUGGUUGUCCUUGCACAGGGGACUCAUAUGGAAUAGAGAUUUUUGCCCUGGUGGCAUAAUUUUUGGAAACUAAAUUGUGUUCGGUGUGAGAGCUAUGUGCUUAGCUUUCUCCUGAGAGGUAAAUUGGACUUUGGCGUGAGCCCAAAAUGGAGGCACUUCAGAACAUGACACUGUAUCGCGGUAACCCACUUGACUUUUUGGAUAACUACAAUUCUACCUCACCCUCACUGGAGCUAGCUAGAUAGAUAGGUCCGGGUGCUAGGAAAUCCAAUGUUUCUGCAUCAGAGCAUUCUAUAUUUCGUUGAUAAAUCAAUAUUGCUGAGCCGUUGUAAUGUUCUUUCCUUUUCAUCAUGAUUUUGUUGCCAUCUUUUAUGAUGUACCUAGUUAACCACUAUUCAGUAGCGUUUAUGUUAUAUUAUUUAAUUAUUGUUGUGAGAUGUCCUAUUUGGUAUUUUUUUGUUAUAUUCCCAGCUGCCUAGCGCAGAUACACAUCCUACUUAUCCAGUUAUUGGAAUCUUAUGUUGCCAUUGGCUGGUUAUCUAGCCGUGAGACACUUUUAUUCUUUUUCCAAACCAUACCAACUUUUAGAUCCAAUGAAGGCUGCCAACUUGACGCAAGGUGUUCAAGAAAUUUAAAUCAUGCACUCUUCAUAGUAAGUUCAAGGCAAUAUUUGUGUUAAUCUUGGGGACCUCCAGUAGAUUGCUGAGAGUUUUCCUUGAUAUAGGGGAAUAAAGAUCCAAAUAAGUUUUUGACAUUGAUCUGUAGCCAGUACUGCAAUGGCUACGAAGCUUGUAGUAAUUUACCAACCCUUCUUUCCUUUGUAAGAUUCUAUAUAUGAAUGUCACACUCGAGGGAUAACGAGGAUGCACAAUUGAUGCACCUAGGUUCUCGGUAUCCCCUGGGAUGUUGACAGUGAAGGGUUAAGAGGUAAUUUAAUUAUUUUUUAUCUUGUAUUUUUUGACUGGCUUGAAAUUUACUAUUUUAUUUUUAAUAUUUGUGCUGUUCAAUUACAGUUGGUUCCUAGUUCAUUUUUGUACAUAGGCAUGCAAUAUUAGCCAUUUUUGUAUGUUCAUCUGUUGCUUGCACUAUUUGAUCGCUAUAUAUGCUGAUUGACAUGCUUAUUUAUGACCAUAUUUCUUGCAUAUAAAAAUAACAGGAGCGGUCUUCUAGGCGACCUCGCGGGUUUGGCUAUGUAACAUUCGCCUCAACUGACGAUGCAAAGGUAGUAUAAUAAUGAAGAUAAUCCUUCAUUUUAUCCACGCAUGUUGUAUAAUAAAUUAUGUGUGUAAUUCUAUCUUUAACUGGAAUUCAUAUGCAGUUGUUUCAUGGUGCCCAUUUUAAAUGAGUUUUCUGAAUCACUGCAUUACCCUUUCAGAAUGUUCUGGGAGCCGUACAUUAGAAGUGAAGAUAGCUAUUCCAAAGGUAAAAACAUAUAAAAGUCGUACAUUUUCUUUUUGAAUCUGUCGUGUUCUUACUUGUUUUGUAGGUACACAAUGUUUGCUAACAUCAUUAUCCUUGGUCUUCACCUCCAUCUACACCUACCGAACAUCAGGUAUGCAAAUUCAUCAUCAUUUACUUGUUGUUAGUUAUAUUAUGAUGUAACUCAGCAAAUAUCAUUUGUACAUGUAUAUUAGACCCCUCCAGCUACCUUGCCGACGCAUGAACGAGAAGACGAGUCAGACUUUGUCGAAACCCUCUUCGCUAGUGGAGGUAUCGACCAUCACUCUUCACUGUAACCCGAUGGUGAUCGGCGUCCGUGAGCUUCCAUGUUAUUGUGUUCUGAUACUUGAGACUUUUAUUAUGACUAUGUAUGAGAUAUUGUCUCUUAUUAGUACUGGAUGAGAUGUGUCUUAUUAUGACUAUGGAUGAGACUUUUGUGAUGUAAUUAAUGAGACUAUGGAUUUAAAUAUUGUUAUGUGAUUAUG
rnacentral:lncRNA from 1 species